rnacentral:rRNA from 1 species
GACGAACGUUGGCGGCGUGCUUAAUACAUGCAAGUCAACUGAAGCAGUGGUAGCAAUAUCGCUGUGGAGGUGGCGCACGGGUGAGUAACACGUAGGUAAUCUGCCUUCAGGUCUGGCAUAACUCCGGGAAACCGGGGCUAAUAGCAGAUGAUGCAGCGGCUCGACAUCGAGACAGUUGUUAAAGCUAUGGCGCCUGAAGAUGAGCCUGCGUCUGAUUAGCUAGUUGGCGGGGUAACGGCCCACCAAGGCAACGAUCAGUAGCUGGUCUGAGAGGAUGAUCAGCCACACUGGAACUGAGACACGGUCCAGACUCCUACGGGAGGCAGCAGUAAGGAAUAUUGCUCAAUGGGAGAAAUCCUGAAGCAGCAACGCCGCGUGAGGGACGAAGGGCUUUAGCUUGUAAACCUCUGUAGUGAGAGAAAAAAAUCCCAAUCUUUGGGACAUGAUGGUAUCUCAAAAGUAAGCCCCGGCUAACUACGUG